rnacentral:rRNA from 1 species
AUACGGAGGGGGCUAGCGUUGCUCGGAAUUACUGGGCGUAAAGCGCAUGCAGGCGGUUUGUUAAGUUUCGUGUGAAAGCCCUGGGCCUAACCCAGGAAGUGCACGGAAAACUGGCAGACUAGAGUACUGGAGAAGUGGGCGGAAUUCCGGGUGUAGAGGUGAAAUUCGUAGAUAUCCGGAGGAACACCAGUAGCGAAAGCGGUUCACUUGACAGAUACUGACGCUCAGAUGCGAAAGCGUGGGGAGCAAACAGGAUUAGAAACCCCAGUAGUCC